rnacentral:guide_RNA from 1 species
AUAUGUAUAAUACAAUCAGUUAGAUAUAUGUGAUAGAAAAUGAAAUAU